UGUCGGGUUAACUUUUUUGCCACACCUGGAUCAGGUUCUCGAAAUAAUACCGGAUGUCGUUAGUUUUUGAAUAUGGAUGUCCAAUCCAUAUCCUCCCUCCCCUAUGGUUUUGAAAUGGAAUCGAGUCGAUCUCCGGCAAGGAAGGCUAGGGGUAUGGAAGGGGAAACGGGGACGAGAGCGACCACGACGGAAGAUUUCUACCUCCCGCUCGCGGAUGCGUUGAAGAUGAUUAACGUGAAGGUGAAUCUCUUCGCUUCCGUCUCCGAGAUCAGGGCGCCGAAACGGAGCAGAGGAACCGAUACAGAUUUCAGGCAUGCUGCCUUUGCGACAUUGAUGGAUUCGCUCACCUAUCCUGAGGUAACACACAGGUGCAAGUGCAUUGUUUGAGUGGCAGCGGCUUAUCCUUGGCGAGGUGAAGACCUCCGUUCUCCAGUUGAUGGGCACUACCUGAUCAGAUUGACUCUGGAAGAUCCUACAACAAGAAUUCAUGCAUACGUGUUUUAGAGAAGAUGGGGAAAAAUUUUUUGGUGGCUACCCAACAAAUGACGAACUAGCUGGCAAGAUGAACAUACUACUGGGUAUACCUGAUGGUGCUGGCCAAGUCCCUGCUGCCAGAGACCCACCAUGGGUAUGGUGCUGCUUGAAAUCUUAUUAUUUGGACAAAAGCAACCCAUGGGGAACCAGGAGGUACCGGAUCUUUGGCGCCAAGCUAACUGUAUGAGGAAGCUUUUGAUCAUCAUACAUUUGAGUCUGGGGAUAUAUGUUCGAUGUUUUACAUUUCGAACCGGUCUUAUCAUGUAAAUACCACUUUUAAACUUGGGAAAGAUUUCCAUGUCUUGUAACUUGUAGUCUUUGUGCUAUACAGAAAGUCUAGUUUUUAGGAAUCUUUG